rnacentral:rRNA from 1 species
AGUGAACGCUGGCGGUAGGCCUAACACAUGCAAGUCGAACGGCAGCACAGUAAGAGCUUGCUCUUACGGGUGGCGAGUGGCGGACGGGUGAGGAAUACAUCGGAAUCUACUUUUUCGUGGGGGAUAACGUAGGGAAACUUACGCUAAUACCGCAUACGACCUACGGGUGAAAGCAGGGGAUCUUCGGACCUUGCGCGAUUGAAUGAGCCGAUAUCGGAUUAGCUAGUUGGCGGGGUAAAGGCCCACCAAGGCGACGAUCCGUAGCUGGUCUGAGAGGAUGAUCAGCCACACUGGAACUGAGACACGGUCCAGACUCCUACGGGAGGCAGCAGUGGGGAAUAUUGGACAAUGGGCGCAAGCCUGAUCCAGCCAUACCGCGUGGGUGAAGAAGGCCUUCGGGUCGUAAAGCCCUUUUGUUGGGAAAGAAAAGCAGCAGGUUAAUACCCCGCUGUUCUGACGGUACCCAAAGAAUAAGCACCGGCUAACUUCGUG